rnacentral:tRNA from 1 species
CGUACCGUAGUUCAAUGGAAGAGCGUUAGUCUGAUACACUGAAGGUUGCUGGUUCGACUCCAGCCGGUACGACCA